AACGAACGCUGGCGGCAUGCCUAACACAUGCAAGUCGAACGAGACCUUCGGGUCUAGUGGCGCACGGGUGCGUAACGCGUGGGAACCUGCCCUUAGGUUCGGAAUAACUCCCCGAAAGGGGUGCUAAUACCGGAUAAUGUCUUCGGACCAAAGAUUUAUCGCCUUUGGAUGGGCCCGCGUUGGAUUAGCUAGUUGGUAGGGUAAAAGCCUACCAAGGCGACGAUCCAUAGCUGGGCUGAGAGGAUGAUCAGCCGCACUGGGACUGAGACACGGCCCAGACUCCUACGGGAGGCAGCAGUGGGGAAUAUUGGACAAUGGGCGAAAGCCUGAUCCAGCAAUGCCGCGUGAGUGAUGAAGGCCUUAGGGUUGUAAAGCUCUUUUACCCGGGAUGAUAAUGACAGUACCGGGAGAAUAAGCUCCGGCUAACUCCGUG
rnacentral:rRNA from 1 species